GGGAAAGACCGGCUAUCAGUGGCAAUGGGCAGUAAGGCUAUGGGAAGAUGAUAUGCAUUCGGUCAAAGGACAUGAUCGAAUGUUUACUAAAGGUUAUUGAGUUUGCUAUCAAGGGUUAAAAAAUUUGGUCGAUGGAAAGAUCAAUUGUAUCGAGAAAACUAGUUUUACCGAGAAGGAGCUGUUAUGGCCGAGACAAGCGGGCGAUGAUCGAACGGGUUUGGAUACGGGACAACAAGGUUAGUAAGUGGUUAAGGACAAGCCACAUUACAUGUGUUUAGCUGUAAAAAUCGGACGAAGGACUCUCGGAUCAGUUUUGGCCGCGAAGCUGCUUUGUCUUAGAGGUGCUUGUGGUGUAAGUAGGUGUGUCACCAGCUUGGUGUGUGUGGACCAUGAGGUGCCACACGUUUGGAUGAGCUUGGCGUGUGUUGAGCGUAAGUUGACACAAGCUUGGAUAAGGAUAAGAAUGAAAGUGGAUAACGAUAAGCUUUUGGAUAAUGUUUAUCCACCACCUCAUGCUUGCCUUAGUUUGGAGGCUAAGACUCCUCUCCCUAUAUAUAAGCCACGAAAUCUAGAUUAGUUCUUUAACUUUCCACCAAAAUCCCACCUUAGAUAGGUAGUUAGAUCUUGAAGCUUGCGAAGGCGAGUCGGGCAGAAGUUGGUCGAGUCGAGAGUCGUGGUUGGGUUUCCGCAUACAUCCAUCCUUGGAGAAAGCUAGUCGGAUCGAGAUCAAUGGGCGGGCAAGGGUAGAUGUCGUUUUCUCGACGUUAAGGCCAAGGUAACCUUAGUUGGGAGACCUUUUGGGAAAGCACGGACGUUGGACACCGGUGUAGAGUUUGUUGCCUUUGUAAAGAAAUAUUUGUAAAACUAAAUUUAUUGUUAUUGACUCGAUUUGGGCCUUAUGCUCUGGGAUCCCAAUCCUUUGUAAGUGUUUUCAACGAUUUAAAUUAAUAA